UUAUCGGAGAGUUUGAUCCUGGCUCAGGACGAACGCUGGCGGCGUGCCUAAUACAUGCAAGUCGAGCGGACAGAUGGGAGCUUGCUCCCUGAUGUUAGCGGCGGACGGGUGAGUAACACGUGGGUAACCUGCCUGUAAGACUGGGAUAACUCCGGGAAACCGGGGCUAAUACCGGAUGGUUGUUUGAACCGCAUGGUUCAAACAUAAAAGGUGGCUUCGGCUACCACUUACAGAUGGACCCGCGGCGCAUUAGCUAGUUGGUGAGGUAAUGGCUCACCAAGGCGACGAUGCGUAGCCGACCUGAGAGGGUGAUCUACCACACUGGGACUGAGACACGUACCAGACUCCUACGGGAGGCAGCAGUAGGGAAUCUUCCGCAAUGGACGAAAGUCUGACGGAGCAACGCCGCGUGAGUGAUGAAGGUUUUCGGAUCGUAAAGCUCUGUUGUUAGGGAAGAACAAGUACCGUUCGAAUAGGGCGGUACCUUGACGGUACCUAACCAGAAAGCCACGGCUAACUACGUGCCAGCAGCCGCGGUAAUACGUAGGUGGCAAGCGUUGUCCGGAAUUAUUGGGCGUAAAGGGCUCGCAGGCGGUUUCUUAAGUCUGAUGUGAAAGCCCCCGGCUCAACCGGGGAGGGUCAUUGGAAACUGGGGAACUUGAGUGCAGAAGAGGAGAGUGGAAUUCCACGUGUAGCGGUGAAAUGCGUAGAGAUGUGGAGGAACACCAGUGGCGAAGGCGACUCUCUGGUCUGUAACUGACGCUGAGGAGCGAAAGCGUGGGGAGCGAACAGGAUUAGAUACCCUGGUAGUCCACGCCGUAAACGAUGAGUGCUAAGUGUUAGGGGGUUUCCGCCCCUUAGUGCUGCAGCUAACGCAUUAAGCACUCCGCCUGGGGAGUACGGUCGCAAGACUGAAACUCAAAGGAAUUGACGGGGGGCCGCACAAGCGGUGGAGCAUGUGGUUUAAUUCGAAGCAACGCGAAGAACCUUACCAGGUCUUGACAUCCUCUGACAAUCCUAGAGAUAGGACGUCCCCUUCGGGGGCAGAGUGACAGGUGGUGCAUGGUUGUCGUCAGCUCGUGUCGUGAGAUGUUGGGUUAAGUCCCGCAACGAGCGCAACCCUUGAUCUUAGUUGCCAGCAUUCAGUUGGGCACUCUAAGGUGACUGCCGGUGACAAACCGGAGGAAGGUGGGGAUGACGUCAAAUCAUCAUGCCCCUUAUGACCUGGGCUACACACGUGCUACAAUGGACAGAACAAAGGGCAGCGAAACCGCGAGGUUAAGCCAAUCCCACAAAUCUGUUCUCAGUUCGGAUCGCAGUCUGCAACUCGACUGCGUGAAGCUGGAAUCGCUAGUAAUCGCGGAUCAGCAUGCCGCGGUGAAUACGUUCCCGAGCCUUGUACACACCGCCCGUCACACCACGAGAGUUUGUAACACCCGAAGUCGGUGAGGUAACCUUUUAGGAGCCAGCCGCCGAAGGUGGGACAGAUGAUUGGGGUGAAGUCGUAACAAGGUAGCCGUAUCGGAAGGUGCGGCUGGAUCACCUCCUUU
rnacentral:rRNA from 1 species